UUUUUGUUACGUUCUCAAAUGAUGUAAAGCGAAAUCGAAGUGAAAGCGCUAGUAAAAGCCAGUAGUGAUGAAUUAAACGAAGCAUAAAUAUAAAUUUGGAACUUUCCAAGCAUUUGCAAAUGACGAUACGCAGUUAUUCUAAUUGAACUGAAAAUCGCACCGUAUAGCGAUAGCAUGAUAAAAUCCAACUGGCUGCAGUUUAGUUAAAGCAAGCAAAUCUAGCCUUUUGCUGUAUGUCUAGACACUGUUCAACGCAGACAUGCAGAGAAAUACCAUAACACAAAUAAAAACCGCUCUAAGGUGUAAUCAUGCUAAAUCAUUCUUUCGGGCGACUACGUUUGGCCCUCGUUUUCACAAAUCAAGAUGUAAUUGAGCAGGGUGAUGAAUAAGAGAAGCGUGUCAAAGGGACGACUUCCUUAAAUCUCCACUUAGUUGCCGAACAUUUUUAUUUAAGUAUUUAACUAAAUAGUUAUGUGGAUUGACAGAUGUAUAAUACAACAUGUAUUGUCAUAAUUACCAAUCUCAGUGCUAUCUAUUAAAAUAUAACUUCAAGUAAUUCAAAAGUAUCUCACAGGAGACACGAAGAUUAUAUAACUGUUAACGGAAUAAUCAAAAAGAUUGUAAAUUUGCGUACCAGAUGAAAGAGUUCCAGUUUGCUUACCGAUAUACGUAUGCUGAUGUCGACGGCUGUGUGCCGUGAAGCCAGCGAAUAAAGCCAUGACCGAACGCUACUGUGCCAGUAACUGCGAAUCUGCGAAAGCCAUCGAAGGUGCUCGUGAAGUAACGUUCAAAUGUGAACACAGCUGAUAGCAUUUACACGUGUAGGUAUAAGCUGAGGCCGUUCUUCGCUGCAAAGUCUGACAAAUCUACAAUGGCUUUGUUUAAAACGCGGCUUAUCAUCUACGCAAUUGCGUUGGUAAACAUGCUAGAAUUUGUUCGCACGUGUGGUGCAGGCCCGAUUCAUAGUCUCUAUCGCAGUUUCCGCCUGCAUGUCGGGCUGGACCAUUAUGAGAGACCAGCUUCAUUUCCCAAUUUUAUGUAAGUUAAGAAGCCACGACCUACAAUCCUAAUAUGGAUAUAAGAACCCAAUAACGUAAAAAGCUCGAAUACUAUGAAAGGAAAACUAAUUCAAUUUCACCGUUCUUAUUUCGGCUACACCAAGACUCUAUAUUUGUCAAUGUAAAUCAUGUUGUUAGAUCAAGGAGGAUGCGCUCACGUUUUAAAUUUUUAUGAUGUAAUUCAGCGUAUUAUUUAAAAUUGGCAUCAAUAGAACACUAACUUAAAAACCGGUUACAAAUUUUUACGGAAAAAUAUUGAUUGUGAAAGUCUAUUUUUGCAUGCGUAUACAGUACUACUAUAUCAUAUAAACGGCUCACUAGCAAGAGGCUUGACUGGUGUUCAUUACCUCUGUAUCUAGUCGAUAACUAAUUAGACGUCUAACAAGUUUAGAGUCGCUUAGUUCAUGGAAACUAAGUUCAGCGAAGUAGGUUGUAAAAAACGUGAACAAAACACUUCAUUUUACCUAUUUAAUGCAGGAUGUUUUUUUUUACAUAUCCGCGUGUUCCGCAUUUUCAGGCACAUUCGAGAUAGCUACGAGCCUACUAAAUAUAACAGAAAGUGGUAUUACCGCCAUGGAAAUCAAAUGCUUACUAUUAAAUGUAAGGUCUAAUGUCAUAGGAAGAUAGCAUUAACAAGUUAUCUGGGCAUAACACUUAUUUUUGGUGCACCAGGCUACAAGGUUGUUUGAAGUUUGAAUACUGAAGAAUCCAUUUUUAAAUUAGUAUUGUAGUAUUAGGAAACCAGUACUAUAAAGUUUCAUGGACUAUUACUACAUAAUAACCGUGUACAUCCCGGGAAAUAAUAACUAACGACAAACCGAUGCUUGUAUAACUUGAAUAUGUGCGACUUACCGAGCUUGCUAAAUCUGACGUUACAGUUACUAGUACAAACAGCUGACACAAACGUAGAAGACAGAAAAAAACACGACUCAAGCAAUUAGCUACAAUUACACCCAUGCUUUCGAAAAUUUCACAUGAAAGCUAGAUAAAUCGUCGUUAAUAAAAUCUAUGUGAAACAUAAUCGGAAGAAA